UAAGCCAUGCAUGUCUAAGUAUAAGCAAUUAUACAGCGAAACUGCGAAUGGCUCAUUAUAUAAGUUAUCGUUUAUUUGAUAGUACCUUACUACUUGGAUAACCGUGGUAAUUCUAGAGCUAAUACAUGCUAAAAAUCCCGACUUCGGAAGGGAUGUAUUUAUUAGAUUAAAAACCAAUGCCCUCUGGGCUCCUUGGUGAUUCAUAAUAACUUUUCGAAUCGCAUGGCCUUGCGCCGGCGAUGGUUCAUUCAAAUUUCUUCCCUAUCAACUUUCGAUGUUUGGGUAUUGGCCAAACAUGGUCGCAACGGGUAACGGAGGGUUAGGGCUCGACCCCGGAGAAGGAGCCUGAGAAACGGCUACUACAUCCAAGGAAGGCAGCAGGCGCGCAAAUUACCCAAUCCCGAUUCGGGGAGGUAGUGACAAUAAAUACUGAUACAGGGCUCUUUUGGGUCUUGUAAUUGGAAUGAGUACAAUUUAAAUCCCUUAACGAGGAACAAUUGGAGGGCAAGUCUGGUGCCAGCAGCCGCGGUAAUUCCACCUCCAAUAGCGUAUAUUAAAGUUGUUGUGGUUAAAAAGCUCGUAGUUGAACCUUGGGCCUGGCUGGCCGGUCCGCCUUCACCGCGUGUACUGGUCCGGCCGGGCCUUUCCCUCUGUGGAACCUCAUGCCCUUCACUGGGUGUGGCGGGGAAACAGGACUUUUACUUUGAAAAAAUUAGAGUGCUCCAGGCAGGCCUAUGCUCGAAUACAUUAGCAUGGGAAUAAUAAAAUAAGGACGCGUGGUUCUAUUUUGUUGGUUUCUAGGACCGCCGUAAUGAUUAAUAGGGACAGUCGGGGGCAUCAGUAUUCAAUUGUCAGAGGUGAAAUUCUUGGAUUUAUUGAAGACUAACUACUGCGAAAGCAUUUGCCAAGGAUGUUUUCAUUAAUCAGGAACGAAAGUUAGGGGAUCGAAGACGAUCAGAUACCCGUCGUAGUCUUAACCAUAAACUAUGCCGACUAGGGAUCGGACGAUGUUAUUUUUUGACCCGUUCGGCACCUUACGAGAAAUCAAAGUGCUUGGGCUCCCAGGGGGA
rnacentral:rRNA from 1 species